AAUGGAGUGCCUGAACAAAAGGAUUAUUUUGAUAGAAUAAAUCAUGCACUUAUAUGCCUCCAUUA
rnacentral:tRNA from 1 species